GGGGACAAAGUGACAGGUGGUGCAUGGUUGUCGUCAGCUCGUGUCGUGAGAUGUUGGGUUAAGUCCCGCAACGAGCGCAACCCUUAUUGUUAGUUGCCAUCAUUUAGUUGGGCACUCUAGCGAGACUGCCGGUGACAAACCGGAGGAAGGUGGGGAUGACGUCAAAUCAUCAUGCCCCUUAUGACCUGGGCUACACACGUGCUACAAUGGGAAGUACAACGAGUCGCUAGACCGCGAGGUCAUGCAAAUCUCUUAAAGCUUCUCUCAGUUCGGAUUGCAGGCUGCAACUCGCCUGCAUGAAGCCGGAAUCGCUAGUAAUCGCGGAUCAGCACGCCGCGGUGAAUACGUUCCCGGGCCUUGUACACACCGCCCGUCACACCACGAGAGUUUGUAACACCCGAAGUCGGUGAGGUAACCUUUUUGGAGCCAGCCGCCUAAGGUGGGAUAGAUGAUUGGGGUGAAGUCGUAACAAGGUAGCCGUAUCGGAAGGUGCGGCUGGAUCACCUCCUUU
rnacentral:rRNA from 1 species